GAGUAAAGAUUUCGGUCGCUUUGGGAGGAGCUCGCUUACUAUCAGCUUGUUGGUAGGGUAAUGGCCUACCAAGGCUAUGACGGUUAGGGGGUGUGAGAGCAUGACCCCCAGCAUUGGCACUGAAACACUGGCCAAACACCUACGGGUGGCUGCAGUCGAGAAUCUUCCACAAUGGGGGAAACCCUGAUGGAGCGAUGCUGCGUGCGGGAUGAAGGCCUUCGGGUUGUAAACCGCUUUUGUAGGGGACGAAAUUUUUGACGGUACCCUUUCGAAUAAGAGGUUGCUAACUCUGUGCCAGCAGCAGCGGUAAUACAGAGACCUCAAGCGUUAUCCGGAUUUACUGGGCGUAAAGCGUCUGUAGGGGGUUUAUUAAGUUCCAAGUAAAAUUUCAAGGCUCAACUUUGAAUUCGCUUGGAAAACUAAUAAACUGGAGUCUAGCAGAGGUGCAUGGAACUUGUGGUGUAGGAGUGAAAUCCGUUGAUAUCACAAGGAACACCAAAGGCGAAAGCAUUGCACUGGGCUAGCACUGACCCUGAGAGACGAAAGCGUGGGGAGCAAAACGGAUUAGAUACCCGUGUAGUCCACGCCCUAAACGAUGAAUGCUAAAUGUUCGGGGAUUCGACCCCCUGGGUGUUACAGCUAACGCGUUAAGCAUUCCGCCUGGGAAGUACGGCCGCAAGGCUAAAACUCAAAGGAAUAGACGGGGAUCCGCACAAGCGGUGGAGCGUCUGGUUUAAUUCGACAGUAAGCGUGGUACCUCACCAGGGUUUGACAUCCCUUGACAGCCUUGGAAACAAGGUUUCCUUCGGGCAAGGUGACAGGUGCUGCAUGGUCGUCGUCAGUUCGUGCCGUGAGGUGUUCCGUUAAGUCGGGAAACGAACGAAACCCCUAUUGCAUGUUACAAUUUCUCAUGCAAGACUGCCCGGAUAUACUGGGAGGAAGGUGGGGAUGACGUCAGAUCUGCAUGGUCCUUAUACCCUGGGCGACACAGGCGCUACAAUGGCAGAGACAAAGGGUUGCAAAACCGCAAGGUGAAGCUAAUCCCAAAAACUUUGUCUAAGUUCGGAUUGAAGGCUGCAAUUCGCCUUCAUGAAGCUGGAAUCGCUAGUAAUCGUGAAUCAGCCACGUCACGGUGAAUAUGUUCCCGGAUCUUGUACUCACCGCCCGUCACACCAAGAGAGUUGGUAGCUCCCGAAG
rnacentral:rRNA from 1 species